GAUACAAUGAUGAUAACAUAGUUCAGCAGACUAACGCUGAUGAGCAAUAUUAAGUCUUUCGCUCCUAUCUGAUGUAUCUGGCGGUAACAUUCUAGUUUAUGCCCUGAAAAGGGGAAUAUAGCCAUUCUAUAAUGUUUGGAGAUUUUGGAUUACUCCUAAUUGUAUGCAAGUUGUCUUACUGUGUAUUGUCCCUUAAUUUCAGGACUCAGAAUUCAUGAUUGAAGAAAUGCAGGUUAGUUUAAACUUUUAAGGAAAUUUUUAAGGUGGCAAAAGGUUUUGGUGGCAUAUACACCUUAAUCUGUAGAUGGGAGUGAUUAGCUGUUUAAAAGUUAAAAUGUGACUGAGAAGGAAAUUGAGUAGGGCAAAUUUUAAAUGGGUAUUAUUUUUCAUCUUCAAACAGGCAGACCUGUUAUCCUAAACUAGGGUUUUUAACGACCACAACAAGCAAGCAUGCAGCUUACUGCUUGAAAGGGUCUUGCCUCACCCAAGCUGGAGUGCAGUGGCCUUUGAAGCUUACUACAGCCUCAAACUUCUGGGCUCAAGUGAUCCUCAGCCUCCCAGUGGUCUUUGUAGACUGCCUGAUGGAGUCUCAUGGCACAAGAAGAUUAAAACAAUGUCUCCAAUUUUAAUAAAUUUUUGCAAU
rnacentral:sRNA from 1 species